CCUUCGAUAGCUCAGUUGGUAGAGCGGAGGACUGUAGAGGGAGCAGCAGACAUCCUUAGGUCGCUGGUUCAAAUCCGGCUCGAAGGA
rnacentral:tRNA from 1 species